rnacentral:lncRNA from 1 species
GACAAGGAUCCGAACCCAUGACCUAUUCCACGCCAAAUCAGAAAAGGCACAUCCAGUAAUAGUGAACUAAGAAUACAUUCGACAUUGCCCUAAUCAAUGCGAAAAACCAGCAAAAGAACAAAAUCUUACCAUAACCAUGCUUCAUCUCCUUCCAGAGCAAGCCGUGUCCCCAUCCGCGAGGUGAGGCGACGGCACACAAAUCGUGGCUGCGGGGAAUGGCGGGUCCGCUCACCGUCGUGACGACGACACGAAGGCGGAAGCUGCUUUGAGCCGGCGGCAGCCAGCAGAAGCGUCUCCAAAGACCACCACCGGGCCCGCAUCCAAGAAAACGAGUCGGAAGCUUCCAAUUAGGUCUUCUUUGUCUCGUUCUAAAAGGCAUUUAAAGAUACAUGUAUGUGUGUGCAUACGACCUACGUAGGGCAUUACAGAUUCCACAUUUAGGGGCAAUAACAAUGACCACAGUAUCCGAAAGUUCAACGAAGAAAAGUCUGAUCCAAGCGAAGGAUCAGUGAAGACCAACUGUUCAUGGAAGAGAAAGCAGACCCACAGCGUGUGCAUCCGCUUCCCAAUUCCAGUCUCCGAAAGAGGGAUUCUUUACUACUCACCGAACACCAAUUGCAGCCUUCUGCACCUGUCCGUAUCCUCAGCAAGCGAAACACCCUUUCAAAGAAGCAGCAGAGUCUGUCGGUUUUCAGCAUCACCUUCUUGCUCUCCACGCAACUCCAGUCUUUUUCUAAGCUCAACGCCAUGGGCGAGAGCACGAAGGUGGCGGUCUUCACCGACCAACCAUACCUUAAGCUUGCUUACUUUCAGAGUCUUUUUUUAUAGCUCGGUGGAUCUCCACUCUCCUGCAAAGAGCCAAUCAUCUCAUCUCUCCAAAAAGAACAAAAUGAUCAGGAAUUCUUAUUCCCCUGUAAUCUCAACUCUGCUUUCGUUCAGAACAGGGAAUGGGAUGAAGAGUUCGUCAUCUCCUCGACCAAAAGAAGAAAACAUGGCAUCGUCAGACGUACAAGCUUUACCAACCCCAACCAUUUAUUUGGUGCAAGAGUUCGUCAUCCCACACGUCCUCUACGUGACGAAAGAACACAUCGCCAUUGCACCCCCCACACUCAUCGAGCAUAAAUAAUGGCAGCGAGCAUCUCUUUCACUUCUCUUUGGACCCGUUUCCUUCUCAUCGACUCUCAGCAAGGGGACACCGAGAGCCGGCUCGAGGAUGAAGAGGAGAAUGUCUCGUGAAGAAGACGUGAUUCACGUACCAAGUAAGAUCGAAAUGUCUGUUUGCAUCAUGUUCUUACACUCACGUCCCACUAAGAACCUUAUGCAUCCAAUAUCUCAGUCGUCUUCACCGCUCAACGACACCGACCUUCAAAGCAGAUGAUUUUAGAUCCUAAGCUCUCGAAGAAAUCUAUGACUUCUAUUUUGGUAGUUUGAUAAGAGCAAAACAAAUCUGUUAGAUUUCUUGAUGAGAUUAAUCAAAGAAGUCGAUGAUAGUGUUUGUUAGACCCAUUACCCUUGGAUCAUCAGUCAAGAAUAAUACAAGUGCUACCUCUGUAACAGUGGUAGCAACUUGAACACCAUUAAAAGAGGAGGAGGGAUUGAUUGAUAGAGACCGAGGGAAAGAUGAGAUGGAGUCUCCCAGCUCAAACCCAAACAAGAAGAAUAGAAGAAGGUGGAAGACAAAAAUGACAUUUCAAACCUUUUAUGAGGGGGUUUAAGAGUUGAUAAUUCUAAACCAUAAAAUCCAAAGGGUCUAAAAUAAAGCUCGGAUGACGGCACCCUUUUAUAGGGAGCGACUGACCCUUGAGAUCUAUUAGUGCACCCUUCGUUUGCAUGAUGAUGUUAGGCCAUUGAUGAUCGAUCGCUAGAGUACGUUGAAUCUCGAUGAAAUCAAUUAAUAAACUUAAUAAAUUAAUAUAAUUUUAAGUGAUAUUGAAAAUGCUUCGACUCAUACCACCAAACAAUCAAAUAUUGAAUAGUCAAAUAUUAUGUCGGACAUGGUGUCAAAAAUUGAAUGUCGAGUUGAAGAAUUGAUAGACAUGUCGAAGAAUGGACUUCUACUAAAAGCUUGAACAUCGUGUCAAAAGGAUUAAAUAUUUUAUUGGAAGAUCUGUUGUCGUGGUGAAACCAAUAUGUUUGAGGAUAGGAUAGAAUGAUAUGUCGGAAGUUCAAACAUAUCAGAAGAAUGGACAACAUGUCACAUACUUCAAAGAUGUAUCAUAUGAGUGGUUGACUUGUCAAGGCAUGUCAUUUUAUAUUAAUUUGAACCGAUAUUAGGUUGAAAUAAAGUUAACUUAUCAUAAAAGUUAUUAGUAUAAAGUUAGGUUGAACUAGACCCGUCAAAAGGCCAAAUAAGUGGUCUAAACUAGUCUAAGCUGGUGGUACUACCAAGCUUAAAUAAUAGUACCGCUUGGAUUAACCGACAAGUAUUAUUUAUAUUUUAUCAACCUUUUAGACUAUGUUACUACCUAUCGUGAUGAUAGUACCGCUUAGGAUGUGGUACUGUUUAGAAUUUAAAUUUUAUGGUGAUAGGACCAUCGGAGCAUAUUUAUGACUUUUAAGAAUUUAAUAUUUUGACUCUAUUUUUAAAGCAUUUUGAGAUAUAUAAAUAUCAUACAUGGGCUUGGUUGAUAGAGCAUCCAUUUUUUAAGUUAUAAAAUAUUGUAGCUAUCUUUUUUAGUAUUAUUUGAGUUUUUCCUCUCUCUUGAAUGUAGUUGUGAUACUAAGUGUUAGAGAUAAAGAGAUUUAUUGUAAAAGAGUAAGUGUUAAAGGUUCUCUCGUUAAGCCUAGAAAAAGAUAAAUUUAUAAAAAUAAUAAAUGUAAGGAUAUCUUGUAAGCUUAAAAAAAUGAGAAAUAUUAUAAAGAGUUGUUAAUCUUCACAUAUUAGAAGCAAGAUUGAUAGUGAAAACUAAUGAUCUCGAGGAUAGAGGAAUCGAGUAGACAUAGGUCAAGGAAGAUCAAACCAUUAUAAAUCAGUUUACAUUCAUUCUCUUGUUUAUGAAUUUUUUUCAUGAUUGCUUACUUAUUAUCAUCCACUUUACUCGCAACCUUUUCUUAUACUCUAUAUUUGAUUGUUCGAAAAUAUAUUUUUCUCUAUUAAAUUUUAAAAUUAAUUAAAUUUAUUAUAGCACCAAUUUACUCUCCCUCUUAGUGCAAUUAAGUUUUGAGCUAAAAUCAGACCAAUUGAAUGAAUAAGCCGCAUAACGAUAAUAAGGCAUUUACAUGAAGCAUCCCUCAAUGAUAUUGCGAUGAAAUAUGAUCAUUAAAAAAUUCAAACAUGAAAUAUUCUUUAAUAAUGAUAUGAAAAAUAUGAACAUCAAACAUAAUUGAUACUGAUGUAAUUGAAUUUGAUUAUAAAAUAUUCUUUGAUGAUGAUGCAGUCGAAUUUGACUAUUAAAUAUCAUUGAAUGACGAUAUGAUUGAAUUUACACACAAUGAUAUAAUUAAAUUCGAUCAUUAAACAAAUGAUAUAAUCAAAUCUUAUCAUCAAAUACCCCCAAAGACAAUGGGUAAUAUCCAACAAUUAAACAUCAUUCAAUGACGAUACAAUCAAAUCUAAUUAUGGAAUUUUUUUUAACGAAAAUGCUACCAAAACCAACCAUUAAGGAUCAUUCAAUGAUACGUUGAAUCUGACCAAUGCAACAUUCGUCAAUAAUGAUGCGCUGAAUCUGAUCAUUAGGCAUACAAUAAUGUUAAUGACAAAUAAUUUGAUUGGAUUGCCCAUAUGAAUAUGACAUUAUGUCUAAACUCCCUCUGCAUGACAAAAUACAAAUGGAUACACGGAUAAUUCGACACCUUCCUGUUGAUGUCCCACUGAGUACCUUAUAGAUUCAACACAUUGCCCAAACCUUCAUAUGCAGCUUUUGUAGUCAUCUAUUUGUGCUGUUCUUGAUAUACAUACACUCCAUUCUUCUAGCAAAGUCAUUCUUAGGACUAGAACAACAUACAUACGUAACAAGUCUCUUUCCUUGCACAUCAGUUGACUCAAAUAGCUUGAAAGAACCAUUGUUGCAAGUGCAAACAUCAAAGGAGACGCAUGCUGAGGACAAGAGGAGCUCCUUGUACGGGAGCGCAAGUCUUGUACAACUUGUGACCUUCUCAUGGCUUAACCCACUUCUCGCUACUGGAAAGAGGAAACCUCUAGAGCAGAAUGAAGUACCAGAUAUUGAUAAAAAUGACUGUGCUGAGUUCUUGUCUCACUCAUUCAACUGUUGGCUAAAUAACGUCAAAGAAAGAUAUGGCUCAAGAACUUCAACUAUCUACAGAGCAAUCUUCUUGUUCAUCUGGAAGAAGGCAGCAGUCAAUGCAAGCUUUGCAGUUGCAGCUGCAGGGGCCUCUUAUGUUGGACCUUCACUGAUUGACAACUUCGUUAGGCUCUUAGGAGGAGACAAGCAGCAUGGAUUGAAUAGUGGCUACAUACUUGCACUAGCAUUUCUUGGUGCCAAAGUUGUAGAGACCAUGUGUCACAGACAAUGGAUGUUUGGAGCCCUACAGCUUGUAAUGCGCUUAAGAGCUGUUCUAAUAUCCCAUAUAUACAAAAAGGGCAUCGUUUUAUCAAGCCAGUCUCGGCAGAGCCUAACAAGUGGGGAGAUUAUCAACUACAUGAGUGUGGAUAUCCAAAGGAUUACUGACCUGAUGUGGUUUUCAAACAUCAUUUGGAUGCUUCCUGUCCAGCUUGCACUAGCAAUAUAUGUUCUUCAUAAAAAUCUUGGAGUUGGAGCUUUGGCUGCAUUUGCAGCAACAACAAUGAUAAUGGUAUGCAAUAUUCCCUUAACUAGAGCACAAAAAAGAUAUCAGAGCAGAAUCAUGGAAGCUAAAGAUGCACGAAUGAAAGCAACUGCAGAAGUCCUGCGAAACAUGAAAAUCUUAAAACUUCAAGCCUGGGAUCUGCCAUACCUUCACAAGUUAGAAGGCCUGAGAAACACUGAGCACAAUUGGCUGUGGAUGUCUCUAAGACUGAAAGCAAUUUCAUCUUUUAUAUCCUGGGGAGCACCGAUGUUCAUAUCAGUGGUGACUUUCGGAACAUGUAUAAUCAUAGGAAUCCCUCUAACUGCAGGAAGAGUUUUGUCUGCAUUGGCAACAUUCGGAAUGCUGCAAGAACCAAUAUUUACUCUCCCCAAUAUGCUUUCAGUACUUGCACAAGGAAAAGUUUCAGGUGACAGAAUAGCAAAGUACCUGCUAGAAGACGAAAUGAGAGCCGACGUGGUUGAAAUUGUCCCCAGAAAUGAAGCAGAGGUUGAUGUUGAGAUUGAUCGUGGGACAUUUAGCUGGAACCAAGACUCUGUAUGCCCGACACUUGAAAAUAUACAUUUGAAGGUGCGUAGAGGAAUGAAGGUGGCUAUUUGUGGUACUGUUGGUUCGGGAAAGUCUAGUUUACUCUCAUGCAUCCUUGGAGAAAUACCAAAGCUUGGAGGGAGUGUAAAAGUCAGUGGCAGCAAGGCAUAUGUUUCACAAUCUCCAUGGAUACUAUCAGGAAAUGUCAGAGAAAACAUUGUCUUCGGUAUUCCUUUUGACAAUGAAAAGUACGAAAAUAUAAUUGAAGUUUGUGCAUUGAAGAAGGAUUUUGAACUCUUUGCUAAUGGGGACCUGACACAGAUUGGAGAGAGAGGUAUUAAUAUGAGCGGAGGACAGAAGCAAAGGAUCCAGCUAGCUAGAGCAGUCUAUCAGGAUGCUGAUAUAUACCUUCUUGAUGACCCUUUCAGUGCUUUGGAUGCUCAUACAGGCACUCAACUGUUCAAGGUUGUCUUCUAAAAAUAUCCUUUAAACAAAUGAUACCCUCCCUCUGCUCUCUCACCUAUAACAUAGUAAAAGACAAAGAUUGAUAAAGAAAGCCAUAUAGUAUGUGUUAUAUCUGAAUCUCCUGGUUUUUAUCCAAUGUCUUCAAGUGUAUGUUCUUCCAAUGAAUCUGAAGACCAAAUGUUCAAGAUACCUAGUAAAUUUUCACUUACAAUCUUUCCAGUAUGUAAAACUCUUUGCAUGUUGUUUAAAAGAUUUGUCCUUCCUCUGCAGGAUUGUUUGAUGGGUGUCCUCAGAGACAAAACUGUGCUUUAUGUUACCCAUCAAGUCGAAUUUCUUCCAGUAGCAGACCUUAUCCUGGUAAAACGGAACUGCUGAACUUCUUUUUCCUUAAAUGAUUAUGCUGAAAGAACAAUAAUACUUUUGUCAUUCAUUUUAACAAAAACAAAACAUAUGAACAUAAUAUUAAUUAUCAACAAGAAGUGCCUGUCUCAUUAAUGGAAGGUUGGUGUCCCUAAAAAACUAUGAUACUUAUGCUCCUCCUCAAUUAAUUGUACUCAUUAUGAACAAUUAGCAUGACAAAUACCAGCUAAUAGCAAUUGCAAUUAAUUAAUAUAACAGGUAAUGAAGGAUGGAAAAGUUGCCCAGGCUGGAUUGUUUAAUGAACUUUUAAGACAAAACAUCGGAUUUGAGGUGUUAGUUGGAGCUCACAGUGAUGCUCUUGAAUUAAUACUCAAUGCAGAAACCUCAAGCAAAUCAUUACUAGCUGCAGAGAAAAAUAUACUAGAGGCAUCAAGCAACGAUUCUGAUGCAAGAAAAAACAUUAAAUACUUCAUUACCAAAACAUUCAAGAAGCAAGANNNNNNNNNNNNNNNNNNNNAAUACUCAAUGCAGAAACCUCAAGCAAAUCAUUACUAGCUGCAGAGAAAAAUAUACUAGAGGCAUCAAGCAACGAUUCUGAUGCAGAAAAAACAUUAAAUACUUCAUUCCAAAACAUCAAGAAGCAAGAGUCUGAACAUGAUAUUUGUCAAGAUAUGGCUGAUAGAGGGAGGCUAACACAAGAAGAGGAGAGAGAGAAAGGAAGCAUUUCGAAAGAUGUUUAUUGGUCAUACCUGACUGCAGUCCGAGGAGGAGCCUUGGUUCCCAUAAUAGUCAUAGCACAUAUAUUUUUCCAGGUACUGCAAGUAGCAAGCAACUAUUGGAUGGCAUGGACUUCUCCUCCAUCUACAACUACCGAAUCUACAGUCGGACUCAAGUUUCUCUUCUUGGUGUACAUACUUCUCUCAGUUGGAUGUUCAUUGUGUGUGUUGAUCCGAACAACUCUGCUCGUAAAAGCUGGCCUUUUGACAUCUCAAAAUUUUUUCCAAAAGAUGCUCCACUCUACCCUUCGUGCUCCAAUGUCUUUCUUUGACUCAACACCAUCUGGGAGGAUAUUAAGCAGGGUCAGUACUUAGUUUAAUCUCUCAUUUAUGCAGUUUAAAUUAUUAUUCAUGUAAAUCCUGAAUUGUAAAUACUUGUGUAGUUUUGCGAUUAAAACUAAUUGUUUCUUAUUACGAAUUAUCUCUAGGCCUCUAUGGAUCAAAGUGUGCUCGACUUAGAUUUACCUUGGAGAUUAGGUUGGUGUGCAUUCUCAAUUAUACAGAUUCUGGGGACUAUUGCAGUCAUGUCACAGGUUGCUUGGCCAGUUUUUGCAAUAUUAAUUCCAGUGACAGCAAUAUGUAUAUGGUAUCAAGUAAGAACACUCACUCACUCAAAAAUUACUUGGAAAAAUAUUGAAGAUUUGUUGUCAAUAUCAGAGACUGUCCACAUAGAAAUUCUUGAAUUUUGAAAGAAAAAAUUUGACUGUUUUUUUUCUUUUUCCUUAAACUGUAGUUCCCAUGAUUUGCUUGUCUGCCAGUAUAGAUGAUAUUAUAAACAUAAAAGGAUAUAUCUAUUGAAAUAUGCUUAACCCUAGUUAGAUAUUCAGUUAUAAUGAAAGAUUUAAAUCAUUUUGGCAAUUUGAAGACUGAACUUUUGACAAUGACUAAUGCAGCAAUACUACAUACCUACUGCUAGAGAAUUGGCUCGUUUGUCAGAAAUCCAAAAAGCUCCGAUCCUUCAUCAUUUUGUAGAAUCACUCUCUGGUGCUGUAACUAUUCGAGCAUUUGGGCAGAAAGACCGUUUCAGCAAUACAAACCUCAGCCUCAUAGAUAAUCACUCAAGGCCAUGGUUCCAUAAUAUUUCAGCACUGGAGUGGCUCUCAUUCAGAUUGAAUUUGUUAUCCAACUUUGUGUUUGCUUUCUCAUUGAUUGUGCUUGUGAACAUGCCAGAAGGAUUUCUCAAUCCAAGUGAGCAUAUUCAUGUGAAAUACUCAUUUACCUGAAUUUUACUUGAUAAUACUUGUCAUAUAAGUCUGUUAAUCUAAGUGAAAUUUCACGUGUAUGUUGUACAGGCAUUGCAGGACUUGCUGUGACAUAUGGAUUAACCCUCAACUCACAGCUAGCAACUAUCAUCUGGAAUAUAUGCAACGUAGAUAAUAAAAUUAUCUCCGUUGAGAGAAUUAUGCAGUACUCAAGGAUUCCUAGUGAAGCUCCUCUACUCAUCGAAGGCUGCCGACCAACAACCAAUUGGCCACAAGUUGGAACUAUAUGCUUCAAAAACAUAGAGGUAUAACUUAGAACAAAAACUCCUAUAUCACAUGCAUGUUUAUGCAUAAUCAAGAGUCAUACUUAGCGACAAGCAUACACAUUGUACAAUUUGGAGAAAGUUUUGUCCUUAUGAAACAAUAGAUUUCAUGUAACAAAAAGUCAAAUAGUAUGCAUAGUACAUGAUACUGUUGAUUUCACUCAAAGUUGGUCAUCCUUCAUUUGUUCUUGAUGCUGGGAGAGGUGUGAAGGGGGAUCUUUUUUCUGUGUGCUGUCUAUGAAAAUAAUUCACUUCAUAUUACUGGAUAAUAGUUAAAGUUAUCUUCAAAUAAAUUGUAAACUUAUAUUCUGAAACAUUGCAACUUUCAUAAGGGAGAAAUUGUUCCAAAUUAUGAUAUAAUUUCCAUGAUGCAACAAAUGAAAUUUCCCAAAGCUUAAUAGGCUUACAUAUGAUUUGACUUUUUAGACUCAACAAUUAUAAACUAUCACAUGGAUGAAAGCCAGUUAGGCAGUCCUAUCUUUGCUGCAUGAGUACAAUCAUUAAUACAACUAUAUGAGAAAGACUUGCUCAUAAGGACAAUCAUUGGAUGCUCCAUUUGCAGUUCAGACAGUUAGAUGUUUAGCUCCACAGAGCUCGGUUCAAGUCUAUGUAUUAACAUUUUUAGUUGAUAUAUUCUUGAUCUCUCUAGUAGAACUGAUUGACUAUUGCUAUGUUCUUCUAACAGCCAUAAAUUCCUUUCCUAGCUAGGUACCAUCUCUGAAGAUUCAGAAAAUUUGUCCUGCACAAACAAGGAUAUUUUGUCCAGAUUUGAAGCUUUAGGUCAUUUCUAUAUGAUAAUUGAUACCACACUCUCAUUGCAUUUUGCUAUAUAUAACACUUUUCAUCUGUUUGCCAGAGAGUAAUGCUGUUGCAAAUACUCGGUGAAUUUCUAGACCUUUCAUAGUCAUAUUAGAUUGGACAAAUAGAUAAAAGUUUGAAUUUUUUCCUUUAAGAACAAACAUUGCUUCCAUUGCAAAUUUUGGCCACAGAGAUCUCAUGGCCCAGGAUAUGUACAUCUUGAUCAUGUUUAUGUAAAUGAAUGUCAUACUCAACUUUAACAAGUUCUCCUUUUUCCUCACUUCUACAGGUUAGAUAUGCUAUAUUUUGAUACCAUAAAGCUUCUUCUUGUUGUUGUUUGUACAGGUUAGAUAUGCUGAACAUCUGCCAUCAGUCUUGAAAAACAUAACAUGUAUAGUUCCAGGAAGAAAAAAGGUUGGUGUUGUAGGACGAACUGGCAGUGGCAAAUCAACUUUGAUACAGGCUCUUUUCCGUAUUGUUGAACCAAGAGAAGGAACCAUUGAAAUUGAUGAUGUAGACAUCUGCAAGAUAGGUCUCCAUGACUUGCGCUCCAGACUAAGCAUCAUACCACAAGACCCAAUUAUGUUCGAGGGAACAGUGAGGGGAAAUCUUGAUCCAUUGAAGGAAUACUCAGAUAGCAGGAUAUGGGAGGCAAGUUGUUUCUAAAAGCCAAACUUUUUAUAAUAUAGCAAUCCAAGAAGAUAACUAUGGCCAUGAUAUUAAGUGAAACUCUGAUGAAUCAGAUAUAUCAAGUAAUAAUAUGAUGUGGGACGUAGGAGCAUUUGCAAAAUAAAAAUUGCUACAAGCAAACGUAAAUUCUAUUAGUUGACUAUAUAUUGUAGACAAGUUGAGUAUAAAUCCUUCCCUGCAUAAUUUGAGUUUAUCUAGAUCUAUUAGUUUUCAGUUCAUGUUGAACAACAGAGCUUUAACUCGGAUGCUUCAGUUUCUGAAGGAAAGAAGUUUCUUGUCCUCUAUGCUCCAUAUUUAAAUGUCUUAAAGAAACAAAAAUCUAAAUCCUAUUUAAUUGUGUGCCAAUCAGUUUGACAGAAGCAUUAUGAUCACUCAGGUUCUAGACAAGUGUCAGCUUGGUGAUAUGAUACGAAAAAAUAGCAAGAAGCUGGAUUCAACAGGUAUGACAUGCCCAGGAGGUUUUGAUAUAUGACAACAUACUUACAGUCCAUAACUACUUGAAUGGUAUGAUCAGUUAUAAUUACUAGUUCAAUAAUUGAUGGGAGGCUUCAUACAGUUAUUGAAAAUGGAGAAAACUGGAGUGUUGGACAGAGGCAGCUACUCUGUCUAGGAAGAGCACUGUUGAAGCGAAGCAACAUUCUUGUUCUGGACGAAGCAACAGCCUCAGUUGAUACUGCCACAGAUGGAAUCAUCCAAGAAACACUACGUGAGGAAUUCAAGGACUGUACAAUUCUCACCAUAGCUCACAGGAUUCACACAGUCAUAGAUAGCGAUCUCAUUCUGGUUCUUAGCGAAGGUAGUUGAAUUAUGAUCAAUUUAAGUAAAUAUAGUUUGCAUAAAUUUUGUGCAUAAUUUAGCUUGCAAAGUUUCUUGUUCUUGAGCAGGAAAGAUACUUGAAUAUGACAAACCAUCCAUGUUAUUGGAAAGAGAGGAUUCAGCAUUUUCUAAGCUUAUAAAGGAGUAUUCAAUGAGAUCACAGAGCUUUAACAAUGCAACACAGUCCAUGUAACACAACUUAGUCCUGGAUUUUCCUAUCUUUAUAAAUGGCUGGUGUAAAGGCAACCCUUGGGACUCCAACAGAAUGAUAUGGGUAUUUUGUGCUAACUCAAUACCAGGUAGUUGAUUUCUCUGGCAAAGACCAAUUAUCUCAUGGCAAGAAUCUUUCUUCACCUGUCAUGAAAGUUCUGCCAACCUAUGCCAACUGGUGUUCUACCACACUUAACAUUAGCACUACUUGCAAAUUUCAGUGAUGUACUUCUAGCGGAAUAUUUUUGACUCAGAGAAUUGCUCUACAUUACUGUCUUUAAGUUCACACGAUUAAGCUAAGAUUGUAUUAGAUAAAUUUCCUUCCACCAGUUGAUUUUUGCCUAUGCAUUUAUGAUGUAGAUUAAACGUUUGCUUUUACAAUUUCAAGUUCUCAUUGUUGGAUUCCCAUGUCUUAUGCUGUUCAAUUUUGAAUUUUCUAGAAAAACAGAUGGUAUUAUAACAUUGUUUGGGUCAGAUAAUUGGGCAUCACCACCACAAUAAUUGAAACCCAAACGAUUCAAGAUGAAAGGGGAACCAACUAUCAGUUAGUCAAAGCCCCGAUUGCUUGUUGAUCAAUUGACCUGGGAAAAAUAUUGCAUCUACCCCGAUGUUUAACUGAUUUAACAAUCACAGAGAUAUACUAACACAUACUUUUAAGACCUACAUGCAAUUUUGCCUCCAAUGAAAAGUUCUACAUGCUCUUCCAAAAUUCAACAGAAGUCGAUUCUUGAACACUCCAGUCACGAGAAAAGUAAGCAAAUCAAACUUCAAGAAUAGUGAACUGAAAUAGUGAAAAGUAAGACCUACAUGCAAUUUUGCCUCCAAUGAAAAGUUCUACAUGCUCUAUCAAAAUUCAACAGAAGUCGAUUCUUGAACACUCCAGUCACGAGAAAAGUUCAACACGAAUUCAGAAAAGGCACAUCCAGAAAUAGUGAACUGAAAUUCCAACUGCAGGAAUAUAUUGGACAUUGCCCUAAUCAAUGCGACAAACGAGUAAAAGCAAAAGGGAAACGGAACGAAAUCUUACCAGAAGCACGUAACACCGAACGAACCAUGCUUCAUCUCCUUCCAGAGCAAAGCAGUGCCGCGGCUGCACUGCAUUCUACAGCACCCCCCAUGUGCAAGGCCAAGCGAUGGCACAUAAAUCGUGGCUCACGGAGAGGAAUGUUAGGUCUGCUCACGGUUGUCACGACGGCAUGAAUCGGAAGCCGCUUUGAGGCGACAAGGCGAACGCACGGCG